rnacentral:rRNA from 1 species
AGUCACUGACAUUAGAUACCCGCGUAGUCCUAGCCGUAAACGAUGCGGACUGGGUGUUGGGAUGGCUUUGAGCUGUUCCGGUGCCGAAGGGAAGCUGUUAAGUCCGCCGCCUGGGAAGUACGGUCGCAAGACUGAAACUUAAAGGAAUUGGCGGGGAGCACCACAACGCGUGGAGCCUGCGGUUUAAUUGGAUUCAACGCCGGAGAUCUCACCAGGGGCGACAGCAGUAUGAUGGCCAGGUUGAUGGCCUUGCUUGACAAGCUG